rnacentral:lncRNA from 1 species
CACGACAAAAGCAGAAGAGUAUACAAAAUAAUAACCUUCUUAUUAAGAGUUUUCCACCGGGUGUUAACAUCUUCAAGGUCAUGUUCAAGGCUUUCUGUGUUGGUACUUUUAGCAGCACUUUGAAUUAGGCCUUGACCCAACCAGUUCACCUCCUGUUGUUUAACUUGCAGGGGCUCAAUUUCUUCUUUCUGGAAUACCUUGAACGUAUUCAGCUGCUGAUUAAUAGUUUCUGUUUCCAUUCCAACAGGACCUUGCGAUUCUUCAUGUUCUUCAGCUCUCCCAAGCAGACUGGAGAAUUCUUUUAGCUUACUGUAAAACUCCUCAACACGGUUAAUUGUACCUUCCACUUGAUCUUCCCUGGCUUUUGCUCUGUCUAGUAGUUUGUUGCAUUGUUUAUUUAAUGCUUCCAAGUCCCGUUUUAUACCAACAAGAUCAGGAGAAGCUUCAGCUUCUGUGGCUAGCAUCAUUUUACAGUUUUUAUUAGCAUUUUCAUUAUUCAUUAUAAGAUCUUCCAACUUUUUCAGGAAAUGUUUUAUAUCCUCUCUCUGUGAUUGCAGUACAUCAAGAUCUCUC